rnacentral:tRNA from 3 species
GCGCCGGUAGCUCAGCUGGAUAGAGUAUCUGACUACGAAUCAGGAGGUCGGGGGUUCGAAUCCUCCCCGGCGCGCCA